UAUCUACAGAACCAUCGCAAGAUUAAACAAAAUUAUUCUAAUUAUCAUAUCAAACAGACUAUGCAAAAUAGAAAAUUCUCAAGUACUUUGACAUCUGAAGGACAAUUGCAGAGCGAAUCACCAAUUAAUUUGCAACAAACAUCCAUCUUCAUCCACAGAACCGUGAUGGAAACGUUCAACUGAUCGGAGAUUGACCGAGUCGGCGCAGGAGAUGCGGAAGGUUUCAGUCAGACAGGUUCGUCGCGUGAAUAAUUCAACAAUAGUACAGCAACCUUUCCAUAUCGAUGUAUCGAUGAACCAAUCAAAGUUUCAUGCCAUCCAAUCAAUGUUUAACUCGUGUAUUUAAUUUCAUAUCAUCUUUACCGUGCAAUAUUGUACGAAGAAAUGACAAAGAAAAGUAAUAAGUCUUCUAAAGCAAUUUC